GGCCCCGUAGCUCAGUGGAUAGAGCGACCGCCUCCUAAGCGGUAGGUCACAGGUUCAAAUCCUGUCGGGGUCA
rnacentral:tRNA from 1 species